rnacentral:rRNA from 1 species
UAGAGUUCGUUCCUGGCUCAGAAUGAACGCUGGCGGCGUGCCUAACACAUGCAAGUCGUACGAGAAAGACUGUUUUCGGAUGGUCGAGUAAAGUAGCGCACGGGUGAGUAACGCGUAGGUAACCUACCCUUGUAUUGGGGAUAACAGGACGAAAGUUCUGCUAAUACCGGAUGUGACCUGGGGCUGGAGGGUUUCAGGUUAAAGUGGGCCUCUCGAAGAAGCUCAUGUACAGGGAUGGGCCUGCGUCCUAUCAGCUUGUUGGUGGGGUAAUGGCCUACCAAGGCGACGACGGGUAGCUGGUCUGAGAGGAUGAUCAGCCACACUGGCACUGGAACACGGGCCAGACUCCUACGGGAGGCAGCAGUGAGGAAUUUUGCGCAAUGGGAGCAAUCCUGACGCAGCAACGCCGCGUGGGUGAAGAAGGCCUUCGGGUCGUAAAGCCCUGUCAGGUGGGAAGAAGGGUCCUAUCAGGAAAGGGGUGGGAUUUGACGGUACCACCAGAGGAAGCACCGGCUAACUCCGUGCCAGCAGCCGCGGUAAUACGGAGGGUGCGAGCGUUAUUCGGAAUUACUGGGCGUAAAGCGCGUGUAGGCGGGGGAGCAAGUCUGAUGUGAAAGCCCCGGGCUUAACCCGGGAAGUGCAUUGGAAACUGUUUUUCUUGAGUACUGGAGAGGAAGGGGGAAUUCCCGGUGUAGAGGUGAAAUUCGUAGAGAUCGGGAGGAAUACCAGUGGCGAAGGCGCCCUUCUGGACGGUUACUGACGCUGAGACGCGAAAGCGUGGGGAGCAAACAGGAUUAGAUACCCUGGU